rnacentral:rRNA from 1 species
UACGGAGGGUGCAAGCGUUAUCCGGAUUCACUGGGUUUAAAGGGUGCGUAGGUGGGCAGGUAAGUCAGUGGUGAAAUCUCCGGGCUUAACCCGGAAACUGCCGUUGAUACUAUUUGUCUUGAAUAUAGUGGAGGUGAGCGGAAUAUGUCAUGUAGCGGUGAAAUGCUUAGAUAUGACAUAGAACACCGAAUGCGAAGGCAGCUUGCUACACUAUUAUUGACACUGAGGCAC